rnacentral:tRNA from 1 species
GUUCUUGUAGCUUAAACACCAAAGCAUAACAUUGAAAAUGUUAAUAUGGGCAACUCAGCCCCGAGCAACA